UACAACCUUUGUGAGUCAGCCAUGCCCGCAAAGCGUGCUGUGUUUUAGUCCUGGUAGGAAUAUUUAUCAGAGUUCACACUAUAUAAAACCCAACAGCUUCAACUAUUGCCCUUUCAACAGUUUUGCCACUGACCGGAUAAAAACGGUUUCAGUCUUUGGAUGGAUGUGUUUGUGGUUUGUAACCAUUACGGUUUAAACCAUGGUUUAAGAAUUUGCCCAAAUAACAGAAAUUUUGUUCAGGAAGGGAUAAACUAGAUAUAGCAUACAGAGCCUGUUUUUGAGUUUUAGAUACUUUAUUUGUAAAUAACUUAAAAUAGCUUUCUGAAACCGUGCAUUCUGUAGUUUCUUCCUUUCAGUGAAAUUGCUAAAUGUCAAUGUAUUUUUGGCACUGCGAUUUUAACCAUUUAUUAAAUAAAAAUUUUGUUAAAGAAAAAAAA
rnacentral:lncRNA from 1 species